CGCUGCUGGGCUGUGCAUUUCCUUCUUAAAGAAGUUUCAGGAGAGAUGGUUGUUAGGGAGAGGAAGUAGGAUCUCAUUUUGAAUGCAGAUUUCAGUGCUGAAUUGAAGGUCUGAAGGUCCCAUGAUGCCAGGGCAGCAGCAGCAGUAUCUGGUCAGUCCUUUUGCAGUGAUCAUCAGAUGACCUUGAGAUUUACCCAACCAGGUGGAAAAAUGACAGGCUGUACAUUCUCCAUUGUUGGAGAUAUUCAAGACUGGAUAAAGCUGUGAGAAAUCUGGUCAGAUCUUCAGCCAACUCUGAUUUGAACUAGAGGUUGAUCCAGAAACCUUCAGAGGUGUUUUCCAACCUGAACUAUGCUGUGUGCCCAUUGCAACAUGAGGAUGGUGUAGUGUUGCUGCCCAUGCUUAGCAGAAUAGCAACUUCUGACCUUUAUGUCCUGGCCAGAGUCAAGUAUUUGAUGUCUGCUGAAAACAAACUCUUCCAUUUUUCAUGCUUCACCAGAAAGAGUCACUGGGUAUGGCUACAGAAGCUGCUCAGUCCCAUAGUGCAAGACUUAUCCACAGGCAUUUCCAGUUAGCUUAAAUCGUGAGCUCCUAAACCAGUGAGUGCUGACAUUUUACAUUGCCUUGUGUGGAAAUAAAAGGCAUUUAAGUAAUGAGCAGAAA